rnacentral:miRNA from 1 species
UGAGUGCCUCGUUACAUUGUGCG